rnacentral:rRNA from 1 species
CGGUAAUUCCAGCUCCAAUAGCGUAUACUAAAGUUGUUGCAGUUAAAAAGCUCGUAGUUGGAUUUCUGCGGGGACGGAGCGGCCGGACGCAACUUGCGUCUCGAGCUAGCGCUUUCCCCGCAUCCUGCCGCGAACCGUGCUACCAUUAGUUUGGUGGCGCUGGGGAUCGGCUCGAUUACUUUGAGAAAAAUAGAGUGUUCAAAGCAGGCCACACGCCUUGAAUAAGUUAGCAUGGAAUAAUGACUAAGGACUUUGGUUCUUUUCGUUGGUGUUCGGGACUGAAGUAAUGAUUGAUAGGGACAGUUGGGGCGGUCCGUAUUCCAAAGCGAGAGGUGAAAUUCUUAGACCUUCGGAAGACGAACAGCUGCGAAAGCGUUCCGCAAGGAUGUUCCCUUUGAUCAAGAACGAAAGUUGGGGGAUCGAAGACGAUCAGAUACCGUCGUAGUCUCAACUAUAAACUAUACCAGCUAGGGGUCGGCCAACGUUUAAUUAUUCGACUUGGUCGGCACCUUAUGAGAAAUCAAAGCAUCUGGGUUCCGGGGGGAGUAUGGUCGCAAGGCUGAAACUUAAAGGAAUUGACGGAAGGGCACCACCAGGCGUGGAGCCUGUGGCUUAAUUUGACUCAACACGGGAAAACUUACCAGGUCCAGACAUAGGAAGGAUUGACAGAUUGAUAGCUCUUUCUUGAUUCUGUGGGUGGUGGUGCAUGGCCGUUUUUAGUCGGUGAAGUGAUUUGUCUGCUUAAUUGCGUUAACGGACGAGACCCCAGCCUGCUAAUAGCGCGGCCGAGCUCUGCUCGGUACGAGCUUCCUAGAGGGACCAUGAUGCGCAAUAGCACAAGGAAGUUUGGGGCAACAACAGGUCUGUGAUGCCCUUAGAUGUUCUGGGCCGCACACGGGCUACACUGGCGCCUGCAACGAGCAUAUCAGCUGGCCCGAGAGGGUCUUGGCUAAUCUUUGGAACCGGCGCCGUGCUUGGGAUUGACCAUUGCAAUUGUUGGUCAUGCAACGAGGAAUGCCUUGUAAACGCGAGUCAUCAGCUCGCAUUGAAUACGUCCCUGCCCCUUGUACACACCGCCC